AGAAGAGUGAAACUUGAUUGUAGUCGUGUGCACUAUAUGAGAGGAUGCGUGUAUAUUAAAUACCAUGUGCAUACCUCACGUAGGCGUAGCAUCACUAUGUAGGACAUGUCCGGUCUCCCAAGGAAGUGGUGGCGGUGUAUUGGCUAAUGACGAAGAGGAACACCGAGCCAUCGAAAAUCGGUCUAUUGAGCAACGCUCUAAACCUGCAAGCCAACGUAUCGAAAUAACAUAUAUGGACCGGUAACAGGCGUUUCCACUCGGACAAAGACGUUUCAUAUUUAUAUCAUCAGUUCCGGCAACGUCAAAUAUAAGAGCAAUAUUUCUUCAUCUCGUAUAGUGAUAACAAG